AGCAGGGGGCGUGGUCUCCUGGGAGGUGCGUGCCCUCCGUGCCCUUAGGCCCCGGCCCCGCCCCCUCCGCAGCCUCAAAGCCUGGCUUCAAGGCAGAAAGGGAGACCAGAAAACAUAGAAGAGAUGAAUGAAUGAAGAGUGAGAAAAGAAGAUAACAAAGAAGGAAAGAGUAAAGCAUGCUGAACGUUGAGUUAGGGAAAAAGAAGUUUUAUGACAGAAUCAACCAAGUCACUCUAUAACCUUUCAAUAACAUCUGAUAUAUGUCUACACUAGCACCUGCACUUUAUUUCUGGUUUAUUAUGAUCUGCACCAUUUAAAACUUCUCUUCAAGCUUGUUCAGGAUCAGGACUGCAAUUUGUUGUUGCUUUCUGGGAAGAUAAGUGCAAAAGACCAGUAACUUCAAUCUACAUGAUUACCUCCUCCUUCACAUAGCAAUGUGAAGAUGCCUCUGAAGCUGCCAGCCACAGAUGCAGGCAAAACAUAAGGAGAAAAUGCUACUAGAAUAUGGCCAUACAGCCCGGAAAUCACGCAACACCCAAGCUCUCACCAUUUGACAACCUACACAAAGAAGGAGAUGGUUGAUUUUUCUGCAAAGCAUUAAGCUACAGCACUUACAUUGAUCCAUGGAUAAGUCGACCCAGGUUUUUGGAUCAAUUUUUUAAUUAAGAUUUCUAGAUUUGUGCUGUAUGUUUCAUAUAUACCUUAUACACAUAUCCUGAAGGUAAUCUUAUGCAAGAUUUCUAAUAAUAUUGAGCCUGAAACAAAGAUUGUGCAAAUUAAACUAUUGGAAAGCAAA